CCUACGGGAGGCAGCAGUGAGGAAUAUUGGUCAAUGGGGGAAACCCUGAAGCAGCAACGCCGCGUGGAGGAUGAAGGUUUUCGGAUUGUAAACUCCUUUUGUUAGAGAAGAUAAUGACGGUAUCUAACGAAUAAGCACUGGCUAACUCCGUGCCAGCAGCCGCGGUAAUACGGAGGGUGCAAGCGUUACUCGGAAUCACUGGGCGUAAAGAGCGCGUAGGCGGGAUAGCAAGUCAGAUGUGAAAUCCUAUGGCUUAACCAUAGAACUGCAUUUGAUACUGGUAUUCUAGAGUAUGGGAGAGGUAGGUAGAAUUCUAGGUGUAGGGGUAAAAUGCGUAGAGAUCAAGAGGAAUACUCAUGGCGAAGGCGACCUGCUAGAACAUGACUGACGCUGAUGCGCGAAAGCGUGGCGAGCAAACAGGAUUAGAUACCCUUGUAGUC
rnacentral:rRNA from 1 species